UGACUUCAAUGAAACACAUGACUAACUGU
rnacentral:sRNA from 1 species